GCCGUGGUGGCUUAGUGGUAGAAUUCCCGCCUUCCAUGUGGAUGAGCCAGGUUUGAGUCCUGGCCAGUGCA
rnacentral:tRNA from 1 species